CAGCCGCCGCGGGAAAACGUAGGUGGCAAGCGUUGUCCGGAAUUAUUGGGCGUAAAGCGCGCGCAGGUGGUUUAAUAAGUCUGAUGUGAAAGCCCACGGCUCAACCGUGGAGGGUCAUUGGAAACUGUUAAACUUGAGUGCAGGAGAGAAAAGUGGAAUUCCUAGUGUAGCGGUGAAAUGCGUAGAGAUUAGGAGGAACACCAGUGGCGAAGGCGGCUUUUUGGCCUGUAACUGACACUGAGGCGCGAAAGCGUGGGGAGCAAACAGGAUUAGAUACCCCCGUAGUCCCUGUCUCUUAUAC
rnacentral:rRNA from 1 species